AACGAACGCUGGCGGCAGGCUUAACACAUGCAAGUCGAGCGCCCCGCAAGGGGAGCGGCAGACGGGUGAGUAACGCGUGGGAACGUACCUUUUGGUUCGGAACAACUCCGGGAAACUGGAGCUAAUACCGGAUAAGCCCUAACGGGGAAAGAUUUAUCGCCGAAAGAUGGGCCCGCGUCUGAUUAGCUAGUUGGUGAGGUAACGGCUCACCAAGGCGACGAUCAGUAGCUGGUCUGAGAGGAUGAUCAGACACACUGGGACUGAGACACGGCCCAGACUCCUACGGGAGGCAGCAGUGGGGAAUAUUGGACAAUGGGCGCAAGGAUGAUCCAGCCAUGCCGCGUGAGUGAUGAAGGCCUUAGGGUUGUAAAGCUCUUUUGUCCGGGAAGAUAAUGACUGUACCGGAAGAAUAAGCCCCGGCUAACUUCGUG
rnacentral:rRNA from 1 species